UGGCGGUUUUUUUUCCUGUCAGAGGAAUGUGUGGNUAAACGACAAUACACGAAAAUCUCACCUAAUCUCAGUGCUUUUUAUUGUUUAAUUUUUGUUUUCUUUUUAUUUUUUAACUUUAGGGUUAAAAUUUUAUUAAUUAAUAAAAAUUAAUAAUAAUAAAAGAAUUAAUCUUUCAAGUGCAUUUUUUAAAAAAGUUUAAGGAAGAACAAAUUUUAAAAUAAUAAAGGCUUUAUUUUGUACACCGCCGUCGGAAGGCUCUUUUUAAUAUAUAAAUCCUGUUUCUCAAAACAUUUUUGUAUUUUUAAACUUAUUUUUAAAAAAAAAUUGUUAAAUAAAUGUGUGAUUAUUACUUAAAAUUAUAAUAUUUAAGUUAGAAGUUUAAAGUAAUAAUUGAGAAAUAAGUCAGGUCAAGGUGCAGAGAAUGGUUAGGGUGACCAUGCAUUUUUUUGAAAGUUAAAUUAAGAAUUAUUUGGAAAAAAUUCUUAAUUAGAAUUUGGUAGUAAGAAGUUUAUAUUUUAAACU
rnacentral:rRNA from 1 species